rnacentral:rRNA from 1 species
UACAGAGGGUGCGAGCGUUAAUCGGAAUUACUAGGCGUAAAGGGUGCGUAGGUGGGUUGAUAAGUCAGUGGUGAAAUCCCCGAGCUUAACUUGGGAACUGCCAUUGAUACUAUUGAUCUUGAAUACCGUGGAGGUCAGCGGAAUAUGUCAUGUAGCGGUGAAAUGCUUAGAUAUGACAUAGAACACCAAUUGCGAAGGCAGCUGGCUACGCGAAUAUUGACACUGAUGCACGAAAGCGUGGGGAUCAAACAGG